UUUCCCCUGCGCUGUUAGUGAUUAACAGGUAAAGUUUGAGCCAACUCUUAAAGAUAGGGCGCCUCCUCUGUCUCUGGAUAGAAACAUCGCUUUAUUGCGGAAUUUCUAAAAGGGGUUAUGAGUUCUGCCCACCUAGCGACUGUUAGGUUCGUAUCUUUCUGUUGACACGGCAGGGCGGGGGAUUU
rnacentral:other from 1 species